GAGCUAGCUUUGGCAGCACAUAUACUAAAACUGGAAUGAUACAGAGAAGAUUAUUAUGGCCUCUGUGCAAGGAUGACAUACAAAUUUGUGAAGCAUUCCAAUAUAUA